GGGUGCGAUCAUACUAGUACUAAUGCACCGUAUCCCUUCAGAACUCCGUAGUUAAGCGUGCUUGGGCGAGAGUAGUACUAGGAUGGGUGACCUCCUGGCGUGUUGUACCCUUCUCAUUUU
rfam:Gossypium raimondii scaffold_925_contig_1, whole genome shotgun sequence.